GACGAACGCUGGCGGCGUGCCUAAUACAUGCAAGUAGAACGCUGAAGAGAGGAGCUUGCUCUUCUUGGAUGAGUUGCGAACGGGUGAGUAACGCGUAGGUAACCUGCCUGGUAGCGGGGGAUAACUAUUGGAAACGAUAGCUAAUACCGCAUAAAAUUGAUUAUUGCAUGAUAAUUAAUUGAAAGAUGCAACUGCAUCACUACCAGAUGGACCUGCGUUGUAUUAGCUAGUUGGUGAGGUAACGGCUCACCAAGGCGACGAUACAUAGCCGACCUGAGAGGGUGAUCGGCCACACUGGGACUGAGACACGGCCCAGACUCCUACGGGAGGCAGCAGUAGGGAAUCUUCGGCAAUGGGGGGAACCCUGACCGAGCAACGCCGCGUGAGUGAAGAAGGUUUUCGGAUCGUAAAGCUCUGUUGUAAGAGAAGAACGGGUGUGAGAGUGGAAAGUUCACACUGUGACGGUAUCUUACCAGAAGGGGACGGCUAACUACGUG
rnacentral:rRNA from 1 species